rnacentral:rRNA from 1 species
UACAGAGGUGGCAAGCGUUGUGCGGAAUUACUGGGCGUAAAGGGCGCGUAGGCGGUUCGUUAAGUCCUGUGUGAAAUCCCCCGGCUCAACUGGGGAACUGCACAGGAAACUAGCGGGCUUGAGUUCGGGAGAGGGAAGCGGAAUUCCGGGUGUAGCGGUGAAAUGCGUAGAUAUCCGGAGGAACACCGGUGGCGAAGGCGGCUUCCUGGACCGACACUGACGCUGAGGCGCGAAAGCUAGGGGAGCAAACGGG